UUAAGCGACUAAGCGUACACGGUGGAUGCCCUGGCAGUCAGAGGCGAUGAAGGACGUGCUAAUCUGCGAAAAGCGUCGGUAAGGUGAUAUGAACCGUUAUAACCGGCGAUGUCCGAAUGGGGAAACCCAGUGCAAUUCGUUGCACUAUCGUUAACUGAAUACAUAGGUUAACGAGGCGAACCGGGGGAACUGAAACAUCUAAGUACCCCGAGGAAAAGAAAUCAACCGAGAUUCCCCCAGUAGCGGCGAGCGAACGGGGAGCAGCCCAGAGUCUGAAUCAGCUUGUGUGUUAGUGGAACGGUCUGGAAAGUCCGACGGUACAGGGUGAUAGUCCCGUACACCAAAAUGCACAGGCUGUGAACUCGAAGAGUAGGGCGGGACACGUGGUAUCCUGUCUGAAUAUGGGGGGACCAUCCUCCAAGGCUAAAUACUCCUGACUGACCGAUAGUGAACCAGUACCGUGAGGGAAAGGCGAAAAGAACCCCGGCGAGGGGAGUGAAAAAGAACCUGAAACCGUGUACGUACAAGCAGUGGGAGCACCUUCGGGUGUGACUGCGUACCUUUUGUAUAAUGGGUCAGCGACUUAUAUUCUGUAGCAAGGUUAACCGUAUAGGGGAGCCGCAGGGAAACCGAGUCUUAACUGGGCGUUAAGUUGCAGGGUAUAGACCCGAAACCCGGUGAUCUAGCCAUGGGCAGGUUGAAGGUUGGGUAACACUAACUGGAGGACCGAACCGACUAAUGUUGAAAAAUUAGCGGAUGACUUGUGGCUGGGGGUGAAAGGCCAAUCAAACCGGGAGAUAGCUGGUUCUCCCCGAAAGCUAUUUAGGUAGCGCCUCGUGAAUUCAUCUUCGGGGGUAGAGCACUGUUUCGGCUAGGGGGUCAUCCCGACUUACCAACCCGAUGCAAACUACGAAUACCGAAGAAUGUUAUCACGGGAGACACACGGCGGGUGCUAACGUCCGUCGUGAAGAGGGAAACAACCCAGACCGCCAGCUAAGGUCCCAAAGUCAUGGUUAAGUGGGAAACGAUGUGGGAAGGCACAGACAGCCAGGAUGUUGGCUUAGAAGCAGCCAUCAUUUAAAGAAAGCGUAAUAGCUCACUGGUCGAGUCGGCCUGCGCGGAAGAUGUAACGGGGCUAAACCAUGCACCGAAGCUGCGGCAGCGACACUAUGUGUUGUUGGGUAGGGGAGCGUUCUGUAAGCCUGCGAAGGUGUGCUGUGAGGCAUGCUGGAGGUAUCAGAAGUGCGAAUGCUGACAUAAGUAACGAUAAAGCGGGUGAAAAGCCCGCUCGCCGGAAGACCAAGGGUUCCUGUCCAACGUUAAUCGGGGCAGGGUGAGUCGACCCCUAAGGCGAGGCCGAAAGGCGUAGUCGAUGGGAAACAGGUUAAUAUUCCUGUACUUGGUGUUACUGCGAAGGGGGGACGGAGAAGGCUAUGUUAGCCGGGCGACGGUUGUCCCGGUUUAAGCAUGUAGGCUGGUUGUCCAGGCAAAUCCGGAUAAUCAAGGCUGAGGUGUGAUGACGAGGCACUACGGUGCUGAAGUAACAAAUGCCCUGCUUCCAGGAAAAGCCUCUAAGCAUCAGGUAACAUCAAAUCGUACCCCAAACCGACACAGGUGGUCAGGUAGAGAAUACCAAGGCGCUUGAGAGAACUCGGGUGAAGGAACUAGGCAAAAUGGUGCCGUAACUUCGGGAGAAGGCACGCUGGUGUGUAGGUGAAGCCCCUGCGGGUGGAGCUGAGACCAGUCGAAGAUACCAGCUGGCUGCAACUGUUUAUUAAAAACACAGCACUGUGCAAACACGAAAGUGGACGUAUACGGUGUGACGCCUGCCCGGUGCCGGAAGGUUAAUUGAUGGGGUUAUCCGUAAGGAGAAGCUCUUGAUCGAAGCCCCGGUAAACGGCGGCCGUAACUAUAACGGUCCUAAGGUAGCGAAAUUCCUUGUCGGGUAAGUUCCGACCUGCACGAAUGGCGUAAUGAUGGCCAGGCUGUCUCCACCCGAGACUCAGUGAAAUUGAACUCGCUGUGAAGAUGCAGUGUACCCGCGGCAAGACGGAAAGACCCCGUGAACCUUUACUAUAGCUUGACACUGAACAUUGAGCCUUGAUGUGUAGGAUAGGUGGGAGGCUUUGAAGCGUGGACGCCAGUCUGCGUGGAGCCAACCUUGAAAUACCACCCUUUAAUGUUUGAUGUUCUAACGUUGGCCCCUUACCGGGGUUGCGGACAGUGUCUGGUGGGUAGUUUGACUGGGGCGGUCUCCUCCCAAAGCGUAACGGAGGAGCACGAAGGUUAGCUAAUCCUGGUCGGACAUCAGGAGGUUAGUGCAAUGGCAUAAGCUAGCUUGACUGCGAGCGUGACGGCGCGAGCAGGUGCGAAAGCAGGUCAUAGUGAUCCGGUGGUUCUGAAUGGAAGGGCCAUCGCUCAACGGAUAAAAGGUACUCCGGGGAUAACAGGCUGAUACCGCCCAAGAGUUCAUAUCGACGGCGGUGUUUGGCACCUCGAUGUCGGCUCAUCACAUCCUGGGGCUGAAGUAGGUCCCAAGGGUAUGGCUGUUCGCCAUUUAAAGUGGUACGCGAGCUGGGUUUAGAACGUCGUGAGACAGUUCGGUCCCUAUCUGCCGUGGGCGCUGGAGAAUUGAGGGGGGCUGCUCCUAGUACGAGAGGACCGGAGUGGACGCAUCACUGGUGUUCGGGUUGUCAUGCCAAUGGCACUGCCCGGUAGCUAAAUGCGGAAGAGAUAAGUGCUGAAAGCAUCUAAGCACGAAACUUGCCCCGAGAUGAGUUCUCCCUGAGACUUUAAGUCUCCUGAAGGAACGUUGAAGACGACGACGUUGAUAGGCCGGGUGUGUAAGCGCAGCGAUGCGUUGAGCUAACCGGUACUAAUGAACCGUGAGGCUUAACCUU
rnacentral:rRNA from 1 species